GUGAGGAAUAUUGGUCAAUGGACGAGAGUCUGAACCAGCCAAGUCGCGUGAAGGAAGACGGUUCUAUGAAUUGUAAACUUCUUUUGUGCAGGAAUAAAGUGGGUUACGUGUAACCUUUUGUAUGUACUGUACGAAUAAGGAUCGGCUAACUCCGUGCCAGCAGCCGCGGUAAUACGGAGGAUCCGAGCGUUAUCCGGAUUUAUUGGUUUUAAAGGGUGCGUAGGUGGAUUGAUAAGUCAGCGGUGAAAGUUUGCAGCUUAACUGUAAAAUUGCCGUUGAAACUGUCGGUCUUGAGUGCAAAUGAGGUAGGCGGAAUGUGUUGUGUAGCGGUGAAAUGCUUAGAUAUAACACAGAACUCCGAUUGCGAAGGCAGCUUACUGGGAUGCAACUGACACUGAUGCACGAAAGCGUGGGUAUCAAACAGGAUUAGAAACCCCGGUAGUCC
rnacentral:rRNA from 1 species